rnacentral:rRNA from 1 species
CAAGGAAUUUUCCGCAAUCGACGCAAGUCGGACGGAGCAACGCCGCGUGCGGGAAGAAGGCCCUCGGGUUGUAAACCGCUUUUGUGAGGGAAGAAGAUCUGACGGUACCUCACGAAUAAGUCACGGCUAACUACGUGCCAGCAGCCGCGGUAAUACGUAGGUGGCGAACGUUGUCCGGAUUCACUGGGCGUAAAGCGCGCGCAGGCGGAUUAGUAAGUCUGAGGUGAAAGCUCCCGGCUCAACUGGGAGA